CAAUAGCGUAUAUUAAAGUUGUUGCAGUUAAAAAGCUCGUAGUUGGAUUUCGGGGCAGCCUGGCUGGUCCGCCGCAAGGCGAGUACUGGUCAGCCGCCCUUCCUCUCGAAAGCCCCGACUGCUCUUUAUUGCAGUGGUCGGGUAGUUCGGGACGUUUACUUUGAAAAAAUUAGAGUGUUCAAGGCAGGCCUACGCCUGAAUACAUUAGCAUGGAAUAAUGGAAGGGGACCUCGGUCCUAUUUUGUUGGUUUCCAGGACCGAAGUAAUGAUUAAGAGGGACAGUUGGGGGCAUUCGUAUUUAAUUGUCAGAGGUGAAAUUCUCGGAUUUAUGAAAGACGAACAACUGCGAAAGCAUUUGCCAAGGAUGUUUUCAUUAA
rnacentral:rRNA from 1 species